rnacentral:rRNA from 1 species
UACAGAGGGGGCAAGCGUUGUUCGGAAUUACUGGGCGUAAAGGCGCGUAGGCGGCCAGCACAAGUCAGUUGUGAAAUCUCCGAGCUUUAACUCGGAAAGGUCAACUGAUACUGUGCGGCUAGAGUGCGGAAGGGGCAACUGGAAUUCUUGGUGUAGCGGUGAAAUGCGUAGAUAUCAAGAGGAACACCUGCGGCGAAGGCGGGUUGCUGGGCCGACACGUGACGCUGGAUGCGCGAAAGCUAGGGGAGCGAACGGG